CGGGCUUUCACUUGAGCCUCUUCACCUAGGAGUACCAUCGGGAACUUCCACAAUGUUUUCUGAGCCUAUGGUGCCCUGGGCACAAACUAUGCAACUAUCUUGCACCGAAACUAAUACUAUCUCCAACUGGACGGAAGCGAGAUUCCAUAUGAUAAACUUCAUCUAGUAGUUCCAUCGGGUGCAUCUACAGUUCCGUCGAGUGUGUCCAAAUUGAUUUCUGAGCAUAUGGUAUGUUCCAUGCAAAUCGUGCACCUAUCUUGCAUAAAGAUUGGAACUAUCUUCAAACAGAUAGAACCAAGCUUCCACAUGAGCCUCUUCACCAAGGAGUACCAUCGCGUGCGUCCAAAAUAGUUUUUUAGCCUAUGGAGCAUUUGGCACAAACCGUGUACCUAUCUUGCACCGAAACUAACACUAUCUCCAAAGAGACCAAAGUGAGAUUCUAUAUGACACACAUCAUCUAGGAGUUCUAUUGGGUGCUUCCAAAUAUAUUUUUAAGCAUAUGGUAUGUUCGAUGUAAUUCGUGCACCUAUCUUGCAUCAAGAUUAGCACUAUCUCCAAACAAAGCAAACUGAGCUUCCACUUGAGCCCCUUUACCCAGGAGUAUCAUCGGGUGCAUCCAAAAUGGUUUCUUAGCCUAUGAUGCAUUAGGCGCAAACUGUGUACCUAUCUUGCACCAAAACUAACUCUGUCUCCAAAUAGACCAAAGCGAAAUUCCAUAUGACACAUGUCAUUUGGAGUUCUAUUGCGAUGCAUCCAAAUAGAUUUCUUUGCAUAUGGUAUGUACCACGAAAACCGUGCACCUAUCUUGCAUCAAGAUUAGCACUAUCUCCAAACAGAUCGAACCGACCUUCCACUUGAGCCUCUUCACCUAGGAGUACUAUCGGGUGCUUCCAUAAUGGUUUCCGAGCCUAUGGUGCAUUAUGCGCAAAUCAUGCACCAAUCUUGCACCUAAACUGUCUCCAAACAGAUUGAAGCGAGAUUCCAUAUGACAAACAUGAUCUAGGAGUUCUAUCGGGUGCGUCCAAAUUGAUUUCUGAGAAUACGGUACGUUCCAUGCAAACCGUACACCUAUCUUUCAUCAAGAUUAGCACUAUCUCCAAACAGACCGAACCGAGCUUUCACUGAGCCUUCUUCACCUAGGAGUACCAUCGGGAACUUCCACAACGAUUUCUGAGCCUAUGGUGCACUGGGCACAAACCAUGCAACUAUCUUGCACCGAAACUAAUACUGUCUCCAACUAGACUCAAGCGAGAUUCCGUAUGAUACACUUCAUCUAGUAGUUCCAUCAGGUGCAUCUACAGUUCCAUCGGGUGUGUCCAAAUUGAUUUCUGAGCAUAUGAUAUGUUCCAUGCAAACCGUGCACCUAUCUUCCAUCAAGAUUAGAACUAUCUCCAAACAGACAGAACCAAGAUUCCACAUGAGCCUCUUCACCAAGGAGCACCAUCGCGUGCGUCAAAAAUAGUUUCUUAGCCUAUGGUGCAUUAGGCACAAACCGUGUACCUAUCUUGCACCGAAACUAACACUAUCUCCAAAGAGACCAAAGUGAGAUUCUAUAUGACACACAUCAUCUAGGAGUUCUAUUGGGUGCUUCCAAAUAUAUUUUUAAGCAUAUGGUACGUUCGAUGUAAUUCCUGCACCUAUCUUGCAUCAAGAUUAGCACUAUCUCCAAACAAAGCAAACUGAGCUUCCAAUUGAGCCCCUUUACCCAAGAGUAUCAUCGUGUGCAUCCAAAAUGGUUUCUUAGCCUAUGAUGCAUUAGGCGCAAACUUUGUACCUAUCUUGCACCAAAACUAAUUCUGUCUCCAAAUAGACCAAAGCAAGAUUCCAUAUGACACAUGUCAUCUAGGAGUUCUACUGCGAUGCAUCCAAAUAGAUUUCUUAGCAUAUGGUAUGUUCCAUGAAAACCGUGCACCUAUCUUGCAUCAAGAUUAGCACUAUCUCCAAAGAGAUCGAACCGACCUUCCACUUGAGCCUCUUCACCUAGGAGUACUAUCGGGUGCUUCCAUAAUGGUUUGCGAGCCUAUGGUGCAUUAUGCGCAAACCAUGCACCAAUCUUGCACCUAAACUGUCUCCAAACAGAUUGAAGCGAGAUUCCAUAUUACACACAUGAUCUAGGAGAUCUAUCGGGUGCGUCCAAAUUGAUUUCUGAGAAUACGGUACAUUCCAUGCAAACCGUACACCUAUCUUCCAUCAAGAUUAGCACUAUCUCCAAACAGACUGAACCGAGCUUUCACUUGAGCCUCUUCACCUAGGAGUACCAUCGGGAACUUCCACAACGAUUUCUGAGCCUAUGGUGCACUGGGCACAAACCAUGCAACUAUCUUGCACCGAAACUAAUACUAUCUCCAACUGGACUGAAGCGAGAUUCCAUAUGAUACACUUCAUCUAGUAGUUCCAUCGGGUGCAUCUACGGUUUCAUCGGGUGUGUCCAAAUUGAUUUCUGAGCAUAUGGUAUGUUCCAUGCAAACCGUGCACCUAUCUUGCAUCAAGAUUAGAACUAUCUCCAAACAGACAGAACCAAGAUUCCACAUGAGCCUCUUCACCAAGGAGUACCAUCGCGUGCAUCCAAAAUAGUUUCUUAGCCUAUAGUGCAUGAGGCACAAACCGUGUACCUAUCUUGCACCGAAACUAACACUAUCUCGAAAGAGACCGAAGUGAGAUUCGAUAUGACACAUGUCAUCUAGGAGUUCUAUUGGGUGCUUCCAAAUAUAUUUCUAAGCAUAUGGUACGUUCGAUGCAAUUCGUGCACCAAUCUUGCAUCUAGAAUAGCACUAUCUCCAAACAAAGCAAACUGAGCUUUAACUUGAGCCCCUUUACCCAGGAGUAUCAUCGGGUGCAUCCAAAAUGGUUUCUUAGCCUAUGAUGCAUUAGGCGCAAACUGUGUACCUAUCUUGCACCAAAACUACCUCUGUCUCCAAACAGACCUAAGCGAGAUUCUGUAUGACACAUGUCAUCUAGGAGUUCUAUUGGGUGCGUCCAAAUGGAUCUUAGCAUAUGGUAUGUUCCAUGCAAACCGUGCACCUAUCUUGCAUCAAGAUUAGCACUAUCUCCACACAGAUCGAACUGACCUUCCACUUGAGCCUCUUCACCUAGGAUUAUCAUCGGGUGCUUCCAUAAUGGUUUCUGAGCCUAUGGUGCAUUAUGCGCAAACGAUGCACCAAUCUUCCACCUAAACUAACAAUGUCUCCAAACAGAUUGAAGCGAGAUUCCAAAUGACACACAUGAUCUAGGAGUUCUACCGAGUGCGUCCAAAUUGAUUUAUGAGAAUAUGGUACGUUCUAUGCAAACCGUACACCUAUCUUUCAUCAAGAUUAGCACUAUCUCCAAACAACCGAACCGGGCUUUCACUUGAGCCUCUUCACCUAGGAGUACCAUCAGGAACUUCCACAACGAUUUCUGAGCCUAUGGUGCACUGGGCACAAACCGUGCAACUAUCUUGCACCGAAACUAAUACUAUCUCCAACUGGACGGAAGCGAGAUUCCAUAUGAUAAACUUCAUCUAGUAGUUCCAUCGGGUGCAUCUACAGUUCCAUCGGGUGUGUCCAAAUUGAUUUCUGAGCAUAUGGUAUGUUCCAUGCAAACCGUGCACCCAUCUUGCAUCAAGAUUGGAACUAUCUUCAAACAGACAGAACCAAGGUUCCACAUGAGCCUCUUCACCAAGGAGUAUC
rnacentral:lncRNA from 1 species